rnacentral:rRNA from 2 species
ACUAUCGUUAACUGAAUACAUAGGUUAACGAGGCGAACCGGGGGAACUGAAACAUCUAAGUACCCCGAGGAAAAGAAAUCAACCGAGAUUCCCCCAGUAGCGGCGAGCGAACGGGGAGCAGCCCAGAGUCUGAAUCAGCUUGUGUGUUAGUGGAACGGUCUGGAAAGUCCGACGGUACAGGGUGAUAGUCCCGUACACCAAAAUGCACAGGCUGUGAACUCGAAGAGUAGGGCGGGACACGUGGUAUCCUGUCUGAAUAUGGGGGGACCAUCCUCCAAGGCUAAAUACUCCUGACUGACCGAUAGUGAACCAGUACCGUGAGGGAAAGGCGAAAAGAACCCCGGCGAGGGGAGUGAAAAAGAACCUGAAACCGUGUACGUACAAGCAGUGGGAGCACCUUCGGGUGUGACUGCGUACCUUUUGUAUAAUGGGUCAGCGACUUAUAUUCUGUAGCAAGGUUAACCGUAUAGGGGAGCCGCAGGGAAACCGAGUCUUAACUGGGCGUUAAGUUGCAGGGUAUAGACCCGAAACCCGGUGAUCUAGCCAUGGGCAGGUUGAAGGUUGGGUAACACUAACUGGAGGACCGAACCGACUAAUGUUGAAAAAUUAGCGGAUGACUUGUGGCUGGGGGUGAAAGGCCAAUCAAACCGGGAGAUAGCUGGUUCUCCCCGAAAGCUAUUUAGGUAGCGCCUCGUGAAUUCAUCUUCGGGGGUAGAGCACUGUUUCGGCUAGGGGGUCAUCCCGACUUACCAACCCGAUGCAAACUACGAAUACCGAAGAAUGUUAUCACGGGAGACACACGGCGGGUGCUAACGUCCGUCGUGAAGAGGGAAACAACCCAGACCGCCAGCUAAGGUCCCAAAGUCAUGGUUAAGUGGGAAACGAUGUGGGAAGGCACAGACAGCCAGGAUGUUGGCUUAGAAGCAGCCAUCAUUUAAAGAAAGCGUAAUAGCUCACUGGUCGAGUCGGCCUGCGCGGAAGAUGUAACGGGGCUAAACCAUGCACCGAAGCUGCGGCAGCGACACUAUGUGUUGUUGGGUAGGGGAGCGUUCUGUAAGCCUGCGAAGGUGACCUGUGAGGGUUGCUGGAGGUAUCAGAAGUGCGAAUGCUGACAUAAGUAACGAUAAAGCGGGUGAAAAGCCCGCUCGCCGGAAGACCAAGGGUUCCUGUCCAACGUUAAUCGGGGCAGGGUGAGUCGACCCCUAAGGCGAGGCCGAAAGGCGUAGUCGAUGGGAAACAGGUUAAUAUUCCUGUACUUGGUGUUACUGCGAAGGGGGGACGGAGAAGGCUAUGUUAGCCGGGCGACGGUUGUCCCGGUUUAAGCAUGUAGGCUGAUUAUCCAGGCAAAUCCGGAUAAUCAAGGCUGAGGUGUGAUGACGAGGCACUACGGUGCUGAAGUAACAAAUGCCCUGCUUCCAGGAAAAGCCUCUAAGCAUCAGGUAACAUCAAAUCGUACCCCAAACCGACACAGGUGGUCAGGUAGAGAAUACCAAGGCGCUUGAGAGAACUCGGGUGAAGGAACUAGGCAAAAUGGUGCCGUAACUUCGGGAGAAGGCACGCUGGUGUGUAGGUGAAGUCCCUGCGGAUGGAGCUGAGACCAGUCGAAGAUACCAGCUGGCUGCAACUGUUUAUUAAAAACACAGCACUGUGCAAACACGAAAGUGGACGUAUACGGUGUGACGCCUGCCCGGUGCCGGAAGGUUAAUUGAUGGGGUUAUCCGUAAGGAGAAGCUCUUGAUCGAAGCCCCGGUAAACGGCGGCCGUAACUAUAACGGUCCUAAGGUAGCGAAAUUCCUUGUCGGGUAAGUUCCGACCUGCACGAAUGGCGUAAUGAUGGCCAGGCUGUCUCCACCCGAGACUCAGUGAAAUUGAACUCGCUGUGAAGAUGCAGUGUACCCGCGGCAAGACGGAAAGACCCCGUGAACCUUUACUAUAGCUUGACACUGAACAUUGAGCCUUGAUGUGUAGGAUAGGUGGGAGGCUUUGAAGCGUGGACGCCAGUCUGCGUGGAGCCAACCUUGAAAUACCACCCUUUAAUGUUUGAUGUUCUAACGUUGGCCCCUGACCGGGGUUGCGGACAGUGUCUGGUGGGUAGUUUGACUGGGGCGGUCUCCUCCCAAAGCGUAACGGAGGAGCACGAAGGUUAGCUAAUCCUGGUCGGACAUCAGGAGGUUAGUGCAAUGGCAUAAGCUAGCUUGACUGCGAGCGUGACGGCGCGAGCAGGUGCGAAAGCAGGUCAUAGUGAUCCGGUGGUUCUGAAUGGAAGGGCCAUCGCUCAACGGAUAAAAGGUACUCCGGGGAUAACAGGCUGAUACCGCCCAAGAGUUCAUAUCGACGGCGGUGUUUGGCACCUCGAUGUCGGCUCAUCACAUCCUGGGGCUGAAGUAGGUCCCAAGGGUAUGGCUGUUCGCCAUUUAAAGUGGUACGCGAGCUGGGUUUAGAACGUCGUGAGACAGUUCGGUCCCUAUCUGCCGUGGGCGCUGGAGAAUUGAGGGGGGCUGCUCCUAGUACGAGAGGACCGGAGUGGACGCAUCACUGGUGUUCGGGUUGUCAUGCCAAUGGCACUGCCCGGUAGCUAAAUGCGGAAGAGAUAAGUGCUGAAAGCAUCUAAGCACGAAACUUGCCCCGAGAUGAGUUCU